rnacentral:sRNA from 1 species
UCUACUAUGAUCAGUCUUUUGUAUAGUGUACACUGAACAGGUUCAUAUUUUCUAGUUCCAACUUCGGAUUUUGUUGACAAUUUAAAUAGGGAAAAAUGUUAUUUAAUACCUGAACUUUCAAAAAGUGGCCAAAUUAACCGUGAACUCUUAAAAUAACCGUUUUAUACCUCAACAAAAAGUUGACUUCUAAUUUAAUCUAUAAGUUAUCGUUGACCUAACCAAAUCGACUCACCAUUAACAGUCAUGAACAACUUUCCUAACUGCGUAACUAACAGCUGUUUUCGUCCUUAAACCAACGAUAACGACUGUUAGCCCAUGUUUUGUAAUGGCUGUUAGGAGCGUUGUUAAGAAGUGUUAACGGUGAAUCGAUUUGCCCUGAUCAACGAUAACUUAUAGGUUAAAUUAGAAGUCAACUUUUUGUUAAGGUAUAAAACGGCUAUUUCAAGAGUUCACGGUUAAUUUGACCACUUUUUAAAAGUUCAGGUAUUAAAUAACAUUUUUCUCAAUUUAAAUAUCAAU